CCAUUACAAGUGCUUCCCUAAGCUCUCUCGACAUUUGUAAAUCGUCAUAGACACUUAAAGGAGUGGGGAUGCGCUUAAGAUGAGGCAAACUAUCAUACUUAAGUGCAUGUGAUUGUGAUGGAUCCUUUGCUUUUGAAGAGGAUGGUGGAACUUCCCCUGCAAUAGUUUUUCCUGACAAGGAGACCUUAAUCUCUUUCGUCUUUGACUUCUCCUCGG
rnacentral:lncRNA from 1 species